GAUGAACGCUGGCGGCGUGCCUAAUACAUGCAAGUCGAGCGAACGGACGAGAAGCUUGCUUCUCUGAUGUUAGCGGCGGACGGGUGAGUAACACGUGGAUAACCUACCUAUAAGACUGGGAUAACUUCGGGAAACCGGAGCUAAUACCGGAUAAUAUUUUGAACCGCAUGGUUCAAAAGUGAAAGACGGUCUUGCUGUCACUUAUAGAUGGAUCCGCGCUGCAUUAGCUAGUUGGUAAGGUAACGGCUUACCAAGGCAACGAUGCAUAGCCGACCUGAGAGGGUGAUCGGCCACACUGGAACUGAGACACGGUCCAGACUCCUACGGGAGGCAGCAGUAGGGAAUCUUCCGCAAUGGGCGAAAGCCUGACGGAGCAACGCCGCGUGAGUGAUGAAGGUCUUCGGAUCGUAAAACUCUGUUAUUAGGGAAGAACAUAUGUGUAAGUAACUGUGCACAUCUUGACGGUACCUAAUCAGAAAGCCACGGCUAACUACGUGCCAGCAGCCGCGGUAAUACGUAGGUGGCAAGCGUUAUCCGGAAUUAUUGGGCGUAAAGCGCGCGUAGGCGGUUUUUUAAGUCUGAUGUGAAAGCCCACGGCCUCAUCCGUGGAGGGUCAUUGGAAACUGGAAAACUUGAGUGCAGAAGAGGAAAGUGGAAUUCCAUGUGUAGCGGUGAAAUGCGCAGAGAUAUGGAGGAACACCAGUGGCGAAGGCGACUUUCUGGUCUGUAACUGACGCUGAUGUGCGAAAGCGUGGGGAUCAAACAGGAUUAGAUACCCUGGUAGUCCACGCCGUAAACGAUGAGUGCUAAGUGUUAGGGGGUUUCCGCCCCUUAGUGCUGCAGCUAACGCAUUAAGCACUCCGCCUGGGGAGUACGACCGCAAGGUUGAAACUCAAAGGAAUUGACGGGGACCCGCACAAGCGGUGGAGCAUGUGGUUUAAUUCGAAGCAACGCGAAGAACCUUACCAAAUCUUGACAUCCUUUGACAACUCUAGAGAUAGAGCCUUCCCCUUCGGGGGACAAAGUGACAGGUGGUGCAUGGUUGUCGUCAGCUCGUGUCGUGAGAUGUUGGGUUAAGUCCCGCAACGAGCGCAACCCUUAAGCUUAGUUGCCAUCAUUAAGUUGGGCACUCUAAGUUGACUGCCGGUGACAAACCGGAGGAAGGUGGGGAUGACGUCAAAUCAUCAUGCCCCUUAUGAUUUGGGCUACACACGUGCUGCAAUGGACAAUACAAAGGGCAGCGAAACCGCGAGGUCAAGCAAAUCCCAUAAAGUUGUUCUCAGUUCGGAUUGUAGUCUGCAACUCGACUACAUGAAGCUGGAAUCGCUAGUAAUCGUAGAUCAGCAUGCUACGGUGAAUACGUUCCCGGGUCU
rnacentral:rRNA from 1 species